rnacentral:rRNA from 1 species
ACGAGCUUCAGCUUAAAACUCAAAGGACUUGACGGUAUCCUAACCAACUAGAGGAGCCUGUUCUAUAAUCGAUGAUCCACGAUAUACCUAACCACUUCUUGCUUAUCAGCCUGUAUACCUCCGUCGCAAGCUUACCAUUUGAAUGCACUUAGUAAUGCUUAAGGACUUCUACGCCAAAACGUCAGGUCAAGGUGCAGCCCACGAAGUGGAAGCAAUGAGCUACAAUUUCUAACAUAGAACAAACAAAACAUUAUAUGAAACAUAAUCACAAGGAGGAUUUAGCAGUAAGUAAGAAAUAGAGAGCCUUACUAAAUUUCGCCCUAGGAUGUACAAACC